AACGGGGGGAGCGAGUGUUACUCAUCAUUACUGGGCGUAAAGGGUGUGUAGGUGGUUUUGUAAGUUUAAAGUAAAAAAUCUAAGCGUAACUUAGAAAUUAUUUUUCAUACUGCAAGGCUAGAGGGCAGAAGAAGUUUGUCGAAUUUUUAGUGAAAAAGUGAAAUUUGAAGAUACUAAGAGGACGUUCAUUUGGCGAAAGCAACAAACUAUCAUGCUACUGACACUGAGGCACAAAAGCAUGGGUAUCAAACAGG
rnacentral:rRNA from 2 species